GUCUCGGACCCCUGGGUGGUCGCACAAAUCCCGGACGAGCCCCCAAAUGUAAGACCACCCAAAGGGAGACCCUCACUCAAAUCUCGGGAAUAGCACGCACCCAGUGAGGCACUGAGACCG
rnacentral:pre_miRNA from 11 species